rnacentral:rRNA from 1 species
CAGAGACUGCGAGCGUUAUUCGGAUUCACUGGGCGUAAAGGGUGCGCAGGCGGCCAAGUGUGUGAGGCGUGAAAGCCCAGGGCUUAACCCUGGAAUUGCACCUCAAACUACAUGGCUAGAGCAUUGGAGAGGGAAGCGGAAUUCACGGUGUAGCAGUGAAAUGCGUAGAUAUCGUGAGGAACACCAGAGGCGAAGGCGGCUUCCUGGACAAUUGCUGACGCUCAGGCACGAAAGCGUGGGGAGCAAAAGGGAUUAGAUACCCCUGUAGUCCAUGCCCUAAACGGUGCAUACUAGGUCUUGGCGGAUUCGACCCCACCAGGGCCCAAGCUAACGCGUUAAGUAUGCCGCCUGAGGACUACGGCCGCAAGGCUA